GACGAACGCUGGCGGCGCGCUUAACACAUGCAAGUCGAGCGAGAACCAGGGCUUCGGCCCUGGGGACAGCGGCGAACGGGUGAGUAACACGUGGGUAAUCUGCCCUCGGCACCGGAAUAGCCCGGGGAAACCCGGAUUAAUGCCGGAUGGCCCCUUCACCUCGCGAGGUGUCGGGAAAAGGUAGCUUCGGCCUCUGGCCGAGGAUGAGCCCGCGGCGGAUUAGCUUGUUGGCGGGGUAACGGCCCACCAAGGCGACGAUCCGUAGCUGGUCUGAGAGGACGAUCAGCCACACUGGGACUGAGACACGGCCCAGACUCCUACGGGAGGCAGCAGUGGGGAAUCUUGCGCAAUGGGCGAAAGCCUGACGCAGCGACGCCGCGCGAGGGAAGAAGGCCUUCGGGUUGUAAACCUCUUUCAGGAGGGACGAAGCUACUCGGGUGAAUAGCCCAGAGGGUGACGGUACCUCCAGAAGAAGCCCCGGCUAACUACGUGCCAGCCCCGCGGUAA
rnacentral:rRNA from 1 species